GGUCCUACGCACAAAAAAAUAUAUAUAAUGAUUACUAACGAUACUUAUACACAAAAUCAACCAAAAACUGUAGUUGAUACAAACAAGAUAUAGUUACAGUAAUCUACUUAUUAGUUGAGUGUGUAAUUUGUUGGGAAAAAGUACCUCAAUAGAUGCUCCGAGUGUAUGUGUUUCUAUUUUUAAAUGGACCACAACAUUGAUCAUCUUAAACAAAAAUAGAUCGUUGUAAAAGCAAGCGGGCAAACGUUUGGAUAUUGUGAAACUAUUCCAUGAAAAAACUAAAAUGUAAAUAUAUUUUCAAAGAAACGUUUACAUGUAGAUGAAAUACAAAAAAAAAUUAUAUAAAUAAAUAUGCACUUUUAUACAUACCUUCAAAGCCUUUGAGGCAACGGCGGACUUUUCUAGCACAGCCUUCACAGUGCAUGUAAACCUUAAGGACAAUCUCUUGCGGCGGAGGAGGUGGUGCUGGAGCCUCCGGCGCCGCCGGUGGAGACUCAUCUUUGGAUUCUUUUGUAGGCUCUCCUUCUUGAGUUUUCUUCUCAGAUUCUUCCCCUUUUUUCUCAUCAGCCUCCACUUUCUUUUCUUCUCCUUCUUUUUUCUCCUCUUCUGGUUUCUU
rnacentral:lncRNA from 1 species